rnacentral:rRNA from 1 species
UACGGGGGGGGCAAGCGUUGUUCGGAAUUACUGGGCGUAAAGGGCUCGUAGGCGGCCAACUAAGUCAGACGUGAAAUCCCUCGGCUUAACCGGGGAACUGCAUCUGAUACUGGAUGGCUUGAGUUCGGGAGAGGGAUGCGGAAUUCCAGGUGUAGCGGUGAAAUGCGUAGAGAUCAGGAAGAACACCAGUGGCGAAGGCGACUAUCUGGGCUUUAACUGACGCUGAGGCGCGAAGGCCGGGGGAGCAAACAGG